rnacentral:siRNA from 1 species
UUACCAAACUCAAGUGCUCUGC